GAUACUGGUGGUGGCACUCCUGGCUCCAGGACAGGGUUCGAGUCCCUGCAGUGUC
rnacentral:sRNA from 1 species